rnacentral:rRNA from 1 species
UACGGAAGGCAGCAGUGGGGAAUAUUGCACAAUGGGCGCAAGCCUGAUGCAGCCAUGCCGCGUGUAUGAAGAAGGCCUUCGGGUUGUAAAGUACUUUCAGUCGUGAGGAAGGUGUUAAGGUUAAUAACCUUAGCAAUUGACGUUAGCGACAGAAGAAGCACCGGCUAACUCCGUGCCAGCAGCCGCGGUAAUACGGAGGGUGCGAGCGUUAAUCGGAAUUACUGGGCGUAAAGGGCACGCAGGCGGUUAAUUAAGUUGGAUGUGAAAUCCCCGGGCUUAACCUGGGAAUGGCAUUCAAGACUGGUUAGCUAGAGUCUUGUAGAGGGGGUAGAAUUCCAUGUGUAGCGGUGAAAUGCGUAGAGAUGUGGAGGAAUACCGGUGGCGAAGGCGGCCCCUGGACAAGACUGACGCUCAUGUGCGAAAGCGUGGGGAGCAAACGAGGAUUAGAUA